AGUGAACGCUGGCGGUAGGCCUAACACAUGCAAGUCGAACGGCAGCACAGUAAGAGCUUGCUCUUACGGGUGGCGAGUGGCGGACGGGUGAGGAAUACAUCGGAAUCUACUUUUUCGUGGGGGAUAACGUAGGGAAACUUACGCUAAUACCGCAUACGACCUACGGGUGAAAGCAGGGGAUCUUCGGACCUUUCGCGAUUGAAUGAGCCGAUGUCGGAUUAGCUAGUUGGCGGGGUAACGUCCCACCAAGGCGACGAUCCGUAGCUGGUCUGAGAGGAUGAUCAGCCACACUGGAACUGAGACACGGUCCAGACUCCUACGGGAGGCAGCAGUGGGGAAUAUUGGACAAUGGGCGCAAGCCUGAUCCAGCCAUACCGCGUGGGUGAAGAAGGCCUUCGGGUUGUAAAGCCCUUUUGUUGGGAAAGAAAAGCAGCAGGUUAAUACCCCGCUGUUCUGACGGUACCCAAAGAAUAAGCACCGGCUAACUUCGUG
rnacentral:rRNA from 1 species